AGUGAACGCUGGCGGUAGGCCUAACACAUGCAAGUCGAACGGCAGCACAGUAAGAGCUUGCUCUUACGGGUGGCGAGUGGCGGACGGGUGAGGAAUACAUCGGAAUCUACUUUUUCGUGGGGGAUAACGUAGGGAAACUUACGCUAAUACCGCAUACGACCUACGGGUGAAAGCAGGGGAUCUUCGGACCUUGCGCGAUUGAAUGAGCCGAUGUCGGAUUAGCUAGUUGGCGGGGUAAAGGCCCACCAAGGCGACGAUCCGUAGCUGGUCUGAGAGGAUGGUCAGCCACACGAGAACUGAGACACGGUCCAGACUCCUACGGGAGGCAGCAGUGGGGAAUAUUGGACAAUGGGCGCAAGCCUGAUACAGCCAUACCGCGUGGGUGAAGAAGGCCUUCGGGUUGUAAAGCCCUUUUGUUGGGAAAGAAAAGCAGCAGGUUAAUACCACGCUGUUCUGACGGUACCCAAAGAAUAAGCACCGGCUAACUUCGUG
rnacentral:rRNA from 1 species